rnacentral:rRNA from 1 species
AGAGACAGCAGCAGCCGCGGUAAUACAGAGGGUGCGAGCGUUAAUCGGAUUUACUGGGCGUAAAGCGUGCGUAGGCGGCUUCUUAAGUCGGAUGUGAAAUCCCUGAGCUUAACUUAGGAAUUGCAUUCGAUACUGGGAAGCUAGAGUAUGGGAGAGGAUGGUAGAAUUCCAGGUGUAGCGGUGAAAUGCGUAGAGAUCUGGAGGAAUACCGAUGGCGAAGGCAGCCAUCUGGCCUAAUACUGACGCUGAGGUACGAAAGCAUGGGGAGCAAACAGGAUUAGAUACCCCGGUAGUCCCUGUCUCUUAUAA